CUAUCUACAGGCUUAACACAUGCAAGUCGAGGGGCAGCAUGGUCUUAGCUUGCUAAGGCCGAUGGCGACCGGCGCACGGGUGAGUAACACGUAUCCAACCUGCCGUCUACUCUUGGACAGCCUUCUGAAAGGAAGAUUAAUACAAGAUGGCAUCAUGAGUCCGCAUGUUCACAUGAUUAAAGGUAUUCCGGUAGACGAUGGGGAUGCGUUCCAUUAGAUAGUAGGCGGGGUAACGGCCCACCUAGUCUUCGAUGGAUAGGGGUUCUGAGAGGAAGGUCCCCCACAUUGGAACUGAGACACGGUCCAAACUCCUACGGGAGGCAGCAGUGAGGAAUAUUGGUCAAUGGGCGAGAGCCUGAACCAGCCAAGUAGCGUGAAGGAUGACUGCCCUAUGGGUUGUAAACUUCUUUUAUAAAGGAAUAAAGUCGGGUAUGCAUACCCGUUUGCAUGUACUUUAUGAAUAAGGAUCGGCUAACUCCGUGCCAGCAGCCGCGGUAAUACGGAGGAUCCGAGCGUUAUCCGGAUUUAUUGGGUUUAAAGGGAGCGUAGAUGGAUGUUUAAGUCAGUUGUGAAAGUUUGCGGCUCAACCGUAAAAUUGCAGUUGAUACUGGAUAUCUUGAGUGCAGUUGAGGCAGGCGGAAUUCGUGGUGUAGCGGUGAAAUGCUUAGAUAUCACGAAGAACUCCGAUUGCGAAGGCAGCCUGCUAAGCUGCAACUGACAUUGAGGCUCGAAAGUGUGGGUAUCAAACAGGAUUAGAUACCCUGGUAGUCCACACGGUAAACGAUGAAUACUCGCUGUUUGCGAUAUACAGCAAGCGGCCAAGCGAAAGCGUUAAGUAUUCCACCUGGGGAGUACGCCGGCAACGGUGAAACUCAAAGGAAUUGACGGGGGCCCGCACAAGCGGAGGAACAUGUGGUUUAAUUCGAUGAUACGCGAGGAACCUUACCCGGGCUUAAAUUGCAGAUGAAUUACGGUGAAAGCCGUAAGCCGCAAGGCAUCUGUGAAGGUGCUGCAUGGUUGUCGUCAGCUCGUGCCGUGAGGUGUCGGCUUAAGUGCCAUAACGAGCGCAACCCUUGUUGUCAGUUACUAACAGGUUCCGCUGAGGACUCUGACAAGACUGCCAUCGUAAGAUGUGAGGAAGGUGGGGAUGACGUCAAAUCAGCACGGCCCUUACGUCCGGGGCUACACACGUGUUACAAUGGGGGGGUACAGAGGGCCGCUACCACGCGAGUGGAUGCCAAUCCCAAAAACCUCUCUCAGUUCGGACUGGAGUCUGCAACCCGACUCCACGAAGCUGGAUUCGCUAGUAAUCGCGCAUCAGCCACGGCGCGGUGAAUACGUUCCCGGGCCUUGUACACACCGCCCGUCAAGCCAUGGGAGCCGGGGGUACCUGAAGUGCGUAACCGCGAGGAGCGCCCUAGGGUAAAACUGGUGACUGGGGCUAA
rnacentral:rRNA from 1 species